AUUUUAUUCGAUUUGGCUAGACGCCCGAAAGGGAUCGGCUAGUCACUUCAGUUCAUACGCGAAUUGAAGCCCAGCGAUGGGAGUUGUGUAAAGAUGAUUAACUCUGAACAAAUUAGAGUGUUUAAAACAAGCGUUACAAGCUUUGAAUAGAUUAGCAUAGUAUUACAGAAUAUGAAAGACCAGUCUCGAAAGUUUUGUCCGGAUCAGCAAUGAUCUUGAUGAGGCGGGUUAUUUAAUGAGAGAUAGAAAUUGAUGGAGCUAUCUUUAUUUACUGGGAAGGGGUGAAAUCCUAUGAUCCAGUGAAGAAACACUAAUGCGAAAGCACCUAGCUAAGAUGUUUUUAUUAGUCAAGAACGAAAGUUGAGGGCGCGAAGAUGAUUAGAUACCAUCGUAGUCUCAACCGUAAACAAUGUUGAUUUAGGAUGUGGAAUCAUUUAUUUUUAUGACUUUCCAUGGAUUAUACGAGAAAUCUAGAAUAUUCGAACUCUGGGGGUAGUAUCGUCGCAAGAUUGAAACUUAAAAGAAUUGACGGAAGAGCACCACCAGGCGUGGAAUCUGCGGCUUAAUUUGACCCAACGCGGGAAAACUUACCGGGUCAGGACAUAAAAAGGAUUGACAGAUUGAUAGCUCUUUCAUGAUAUUAUGAAAGGUGGUGCAUGGCCGUUUUUAGUUGGUGGUUUGAAUUGUCUGGUUAAUUCCGAUAACGUAACAAGACCUUUUCCUGCUAUUUAGCAAUGAGUUGGUCUGAUAAUAAUCGGAGAAGAGCAAUCUUCUUCGUGAGCUUUGGAAUCCAAAAGCUUUGCUUCCUAGAGGUACUCUUUUUGUUUGUGAAUCAAUUAAAAGGAAGAAAGACAAUAACAGGUCUGUGAUGCCCUUAGAUGUUCCGGGCUGCACGCGCGUUACAAUGAGAUUAUCACAUAGUGAUUUUUUACCGUAUUAGAGAUGAUUUAGGAAAUCUCAUAAACAAUCUCGUGAUGGGGAUUGUGUUUUGCAAUUAUCGCACAUGAACGAGGAAUGCCUUGUAAGGUUAUGUCAUUAACGUAUCCUGAAUUAGUCCCUGCUCUUUGUACACACCGCCCGUCGCUCCUACUGAUUGAAUUUUGUGAUGAGGACCUUGGACUGUAGAUGCAUAGUGUUUACUACUGUCGAAGGUAGUGUAGCUAGAUACUUGAAAGAGUAUCUUAUAGAAAUUUGUUCGAAUC
rnacentral:rRNA from 1 species